rnacentral:rRNA from 1 species
UUGAAAGGGAAACGAUUGAAGUCAGUCGUACCAGCGGGAAAUCAACCUUUCGAGUGGGGGGUUUUGGGGUUUUGAAGAGUGUCAAAACCUUUGAGAUUUCAAAAUAUUCGCUCUUUUGGUGUACUUUCUCGUGGGUAGGUUAACAUCGAUUUUGAUCAUCAUAAAAAGAUUGGAGGAAUGUAGCUUCGAUCUUGUAUUGAAGUGUUAUAGCCUUUGGUAAAUGUGAUGAUUAGGAUCGAGGAUUGCAACGAAUACCCUUUUGGGCUAUCCGCCUGAUCUCUGAUACGUGGCCUUGGUAUCGAAAGCUUGCUUAUGGUAUUGAGGUAUUACGGUCAAAAGGUUAGAACGGAUUACAUUCGUUAAGGAUGUUGACGUA